rnacentral:rRNA from 1 species
AGCGAACGCUGGCGGCAGGCCUAACACAUGCAAGUCGAACGAAGUCUUCGGACUUAGUGGCGGACGGGUGAGUAACACGUGGGCACGUACCUUUUGGUCCGGAAUAACGCAGGGAAACUUGCGCUAAUACCGAAUGUGCCCUUAGGGGGCAAGAUUUAUCGCCAUUAGAGCGGCCCGCGUUGGAUUAGGUAGUUGGGGUAGUAAAGGCGCACCAAGCCUACGAUCCAUAGCUGGUCUGAGAGGAUGAUCAGCCACACUGGGACCGAGACACGGCCCAGACUCCUACGAGAGGCAGCAGUGGGGAAUCUUGCGCAAUGGUCGAAAGACUGACGCAGCCAUGCCGCGUGAAUGAUGAAGGUCUUAGGAUUGUAAAAUUCUUUUAGCAGGGACGAUAAUGACGGUACCUGCAGAAAAAGCCCCGGCUAACUUCGUGCCAGCCGCCGCGGUAAGAC